GGAGCAAACACUGUCAGCUGAGGCCAGCCACAACCACAGUAUGCCCUUCCCUUGUUGAUCAACCUUGGAUGCCGCUCACGCACGUCGUGUCCACACGGGGGCGCUCCAACAGUGCUUCUCUGGCGUCUCUGGCCUUUCUAGUCUGCAUUUUUUUUCCUCCUGGUUAGUGGGAGGAGCACUGGUUUCCUUUCCAGUCUUAGUCGUCUGGCUGCACGAAAAGAGCCUAGGCCCAUAUGUUCCUUGAGUAGUAUUUCCUCUAGCAAAGGCUACACAUCCAAAGAGCCCUUAGAUUUUUUUUUUGUUCAGAUUUGGGUGGAAUUCAACAAAUUCCCUCAGAUAUCCCUCCCUAUUGAAAAAAUUUUUAAUUUCUUCUUUUUUUUGUUUUUUGUUUGUUUGGUUGGUUGGUUGGUUGGUUUGGUUUGGUUUGGUUUGAGACAGGGUUUCUGUCUAACACCCCUGGCUGUCCUGGAACGCACUAUGUAGACCAGGCUGGCCUCGAACCCACAGAGCUCUGCCUGCCUCUGCUUCUGCCUCUGCCUCCUGAGUGCAGGAUUGUAGGCAUGCAUCAUCAUGCCUGGCUUUUCUACUUAAUUUCAUUUUAUAUGCAUGGGUGUUUUGCCUAGAUAUAUAUCUGUGCACCACACACUUGCCUAGUGCCAAUGGCACUUCUGCCUCCAAAGGUCCACCCAGGUGACUUGCCUCUGCCAGCUAGGCCCCACCCCCCGGAAAGGUUCUGCUUACCAAGCUUGGAAAUCACAGUUUUGAGCUGGAAUAAAAUGAACUAGAGGCCGGGCGGUGGUGGCGCACGCCUUUGAUCCCAGCACUUGGGAGGCUGAGGGAGGCAGAGGCAGGGGAAUUUCUGAGUUCGAGGCCAGCCUGGUCUCGAGUUGAGUUCCAGGACAGCCAGCGCCACACAGAAAAGCCCUGUCUCAAAAAAAAAACAAAAAAACAAAAACAAAAACAAAAACAAAAACAAAAAAAGAGCUAGAAAGCAAGCUUGUAGUAUUAACAGAACGUCCACACGAGGGCGCCCACACACUUUUUAAAAGAUGCUUUGGAUGAAGCCGGUCCCCAGAGGGACCAGGAAUCUGCGCGGCAGGGCUGAGCCUCCCUCCGGGCCUUCGCUCCACAGCCUUCUCCCUCUGAGGAUUUCCUUGUUGGUUUUCUUGUUUGCUAGGGAGAGAUUCGGUUACCCGUAAGGGGUCUUAGAGCCAUGGCCCAUGGCUAGGAGACGCAGUAGACGUAUUAGAAAGAUGAGUUGAGCAGGCAGGCAUAAACCUGAGCCUUUCGGAGGGCUUCCUCCUCAUUCCAGUGUACUAGUUGAGAAAUCCGACAUUGCUCCCUCUGGUACUGACUUUGUCACGUCCUCCCACAGGACGGGAACUGCCCGCCUCUGGGCCAGCUGGGUGGCUGCAUUCACUGUCCAGGCAAGGCGUCUGAGCUCUGGAGCUGUGGCCUCCUCCUAACGCUCUCACACAUCAGUCAAAGCCUUCCUCUUCUGUGUCAAGGACUUCAAGCUUCUUGGCUCGUUCUUCCCAAUUCCUCCCGGCUUCCACCCCACCCCCACCCCUAGAUGCCUGGUUCAGUUUUCCAUUAGCAUCUGGCAGAAGGCGGGUGGAGGAGGAGCUGGCCGAAUGUUUAAACUGGUUACCACAUGGCUUCUUGGAGCCAACGAUACUGCUACCGGGAGACACAGGGAGAGCCUCCCCAAGCUCCAAGGCCAGUGUCUGCGGCAGGAUCAAACACCAAAGGGUUUCUGCACUGGGCUGGAGACAGGAAUUCACUAAACUGUCUUCAGUCUUUCUCUCUCUCUCUCUCUCUCUCUCUCUCUCUCUCUCUCUCUCUCCCUCCCUCCCUCUCUCUCUCUCUCUCUCCCCCCCACCAUUCCCCAUGCCCAUGCCCAUCUCUAUUUUAAGACGGACUAAAUUGCCCAAGCUGGUCUUGAACUCAUUCUGUAGCCCAGACUAGUCUUGAGUUCAUAAUCCUCCUGCUUCAACCUCCACAGUAGUGGGAUUACAGACAGUCCCAGAUGAAGUUUCCUAACACUGGUCAAUCUGAGCUCACUUCAUCCUCUGUGCCUGUUGAUUGCCACAAGAAGCCCAAGACACAGGAGGGGUGCAGGGCAGAAUUUGGGGAGCACAGCUGUAUUCAGAGCCUCCUUGCCUGCAUUGGAGUAACUUGUGUGCUGAGAAGACAUGCACACACAAACACACACACACAGACCAGGCAAUAGGACCACGGGACAAUGUGGGGACACCAGCAUUCAUGUGGGGGCUGUAGCUGUGGAUAUUGAGACAAGGCAAAGGUUUGAGGCUGCUGGAAAGAGACUGCUCUGUUCAGCUCUCCGUGCUGGGAAAGAUACGACUGUUACUCAGGCUUCCCGAGGCAAGUGGUCCUGGGUUCUAUAAAAAAGCAGGCUGAGCAAGCCAUGGGAGCAAGCGGCACUUUCUAAAGAUGACAGAGCUACCAUAACAACCACAGGAGAACAGAGUAACACAAGCAAGCAUGUUUCCUGUGAAACACAGAACUGGAAACUGUGUCAAAGGUGAUGCCGCUCUGUUUCUACCAGGAGAAAAAUCAAAAUAUCAUUGAAAAAUAGAUGCCGAGGGAA